UCCUUAGUAUCUCAGUGGUAGAGCGGUCUACUAUUAAUCAAUUGGUCGUAGGUUCAAAUCCUACUUGGGGAG
rnacentral:tRNA from 1 species